rnacentral:rRNA from 1 species
CCUACGGGAGGCAGCAGUGAGGAAUAUUGGUCAAUGGACGAGAGUCUGAACCAGCCAAGUAGCGUGAAGGAUGACUGCCCUAUGGGUUGUAAACUUCUUUUAUAUAGGAAUAAAACGAGCCACGUGUGCCUUUUUGUAUGUACUUUAUGAAUAAGGAUCGGCUAACUCCGUGCCAGCAGCCGCGGUAAUACGGAGGAUCCGAGCGUUAUCCGGAUUUAUUGGGUUUAAAGGGAGCGUAGAUGGGUUGUUAAGUCAGUUGUGAAAGUUUGCGGCUCAACCGUAAAAUUGCAAUUGAUACUGGCAGUCUUGAGUACAGUUGAGGUAGGCGGAAUUCGUGGUGUAGCGGUGAAAUGCUUAGAUAUCACGAAGAACCCCGAUUGCGAAGGCAGCUUACUAAACUGUGACUGACAUUGAUGCUCGAAAGUGUGGGUAUCAAACAGGAUUAGAUACCCCAGUAGUC